GACGAACGCUGGCGGCGUGCUUAACACAUGCAAGUCGAACGGAAAGGCCCUGCUUUUGUGGGGUGCUCGAGUGGCGAACGGGUGAGUAACACGUGAGUAACCUGCCCUUGACUUUGGGAUAACUUCAGGAAACUGGGGCUAAUACCGGAUAGGAGCUCCUGCUGCAUGGUGGGGGUUGGAAAGUUUCGGCGGUUGGGGAUGGACUCGCGGCUUAUCAGCUUGUUGGUGGGGUAGUGGCUUACCAAGGCUUUGACGGGUAGCCGGCCUGAGAGGGUGACCGGCCACAUUGGGACUGAGAUACGGCCCAGACUCCUACGGGAGGCAGCAGUGGGGAAUAUUGCACAAUGGGCGUAAGCCUGAUGCAGCAACGCCGCGUGCGGGAUGACGGCCUUCGGGCUGUAAACCGCUUUCGCCUGUGACGAAGCGUGAGUGACGGUAAUGGGUAAAGAAGCACCGGCUAACUACGUG
rnacentral:rRNA from 1 species